GGGUCUUUUGUGUCCAUUUACAUUUAAGGAUUAUUCUAGUCCUUUGAAUAAUGUCAUGGGUAUUUAGAUAGUGAUUGCAUUAAAUCUAUAGAUUGCUUUGGGCGGUAUGAACAUUUUAAAAAUAUUAAUUCUUCUAAUCCAUGAACACUGGGUAUCAUUACAUUC